UUCAUCAGACCAGAGGACAUUUCUCCAAAAAGUACGAUCUUUGUCCCCAUGUGCAGUUGCAAACCGUAGUCUAGCUUUUUGCUGUUGUUCUGGGAUUGAUUUGUAGUUUUCUCACCAAAGUACGUUCAGCUCUAGGAGACAGAACGGGUCACUUCCUGAGUGGUAUGAUGGCUGCGUGGUCCCAUGGUGUUUAUACCUGCCUAGGGACUGCGGUUGAAAAUUAGCCGGCUGGCUAAAACCGGCACUUUUACUGAAACGUUGAUUAAUGUGUACUGUCCCUAUAAAAAUAAAAUAAACUCAAACUCAAUAUUGUUUGUACAGAUGAACGUCAUACCUUCAGGUGUUUGGAAAUUGCUCCCAAGGAUGAACCAGACUUGUGGAGGUCUACAAUUUUUUUCUGUGGUCUUGGCUAAUUCUUUUGAUGGCAAGGAAAGAGGCAAUGAGUUUGAAGGUAGGCCUUGAAAUACAUCCACAGGUACACCUCCAAUUGACUCAAAUGAUGUCAAUUAGCCUAUCAGAAACUUCGAAAGCCAUAACAUAAUUUUCUGGACUUGUCCAAGCUGUUUAAAAAAACAGUCAACUUAGUGUAUGUAAACUUCUGACCCACUGGAAUUGUGAUACAGUGAAUUAUAAGUGAAAUAAUAUGUCUGUAAACAAUUAUUGGAAAAAUGACUUGUGUCAUGCACAAAGUCGAUGUCCUAACCGACGUGCCAAAACUACAGUUUGUUAACAAGAAAUUUGUGGAGUGGUUGAAAACGCGUUUAAAUGACGCCAACCUAAGUGUAUGUAAACUUCUGACUUCAACUAUAUGUACAGUGGGAAGAAAAAGUAUGUGAACCCUUUAGAAUUACUUGGAUUUCUGCAUAAAUUGGUCAUACCAUUUUGUCUGAUCAUCUAAGUCACAACAAUAGACAAACACAGUCUGCUUAAACUAAUUAUAAUGUUUCAUGUCUGUAUUGAAUACACCUUGUAAACAUUCACAGUGCAGGGGCCUGUUGCACAAAAGUAGAAUUAAGACAUCCGGGAUAAAUGACUCAGCUGAGCUCAAUGAAGCCAAAACAUGUGCGUCCAGGUUUAAUUGGUUGCACAAAGACCAAGCCAGGAUGAGCAGACACGGAUUCAUUAAGCCAGGUGAAACCAAUCCUGGAUAGGUGCGCGCUCACGGCUCACUCAAAUAGACCCCGCCACAGAUCACAGAUUAACUGAUUUACCAUGGCAACUAGAGCCGCGUACUUUUCCCCGUCGGAAGCACAAAUCCUCAUGGAGGCAUACGAGGAGGUAAAAUAUAUAAUUAAGAAGAAAGGCAACACCGCCACAGUGAUAAAGCAAAGAGAAAAAGCGUGGCAAAGUAUUGCAGACCGCCUGAAUGCAUUAAACAUGAACGGGCCAAAACGGACAUGGCAGCAGGUCAAAAUCAAAUACAAGAACAUUCUGCAGAAUGCAAUGAAAAAGAAUACCCACAGACAAGGCACGGGUGGUGGGUCACCAAAGGCUGACCUUACCCCAGCAGAGGACAUGGCCUUGGAGCUAAAUAAAGGCAGGCCCGUCUUAGAGGGGAUCCC